CAAACCUCAACGAGAAACGCUGCUCAUUCACUUUACCGUCCAAUUCCAUGGGCGAGUGGAGGGGAAAGAGCAGCCAGAAGAACUGCGACAUCGUCUCAUACUAGGUCGUCUUUACAUUGGACGGUUUGGUCUGCGAUUUCGACACAUAA
rnacentral:snoRNA from 1 species